rnacentral:lncRNA from 1 species
UCAAUUCUUAAGAAGAACCAGAAACGUUUCCUCUCAAUUUCAAGGAAACCAAACUUUAUUAUUUCGUUCCAGAAUUUUAGGAACCAGAAAGUAUUUUAGUCCAUGAAUUUCUAAGGGGCAAAGGAAAAUUUCGUUCAAUCAACGAAGGUAUGCCAACGAAAUAUUAUACGUAAUUUUUCCUACUCCAGGUAUGUUAAGGCCCUUCCUUCUUUCUUUUGGCAUGGUCCAAAUUAUACUGAAGAAACGAGCAAGCACACAAUUUUCAUAUAUUACUCCAUUCAUAGAAAUAGUAAGGAUGUCUAUAUUCUUGAUUCCUCAUGAAAAAUAUUAUUAUCUUCUGUUCACAGGGUCUCAGAAAAAUAAGUAUUUGAUAAAGUUUAUUCAAAAAAGCAUUUCUUCUGUAUGUGUAUGUAAAGUUUAUUGGAUAAAGUUCCUUUUAAUCACUUAUUAAGAUGUCAACAAUGGAAAUAAGCUCCUUGAUCAGUGUAUUAGCGCUUUCUAUAUUUGUAUAAGAACUUGUGUAACAUUCUUUGGAAAAUGUUUGCUUAUUCGUUGUAAUGUACUAUUAGUCUGCCAUGGUCAUACAUAGCUCCUCGUUUUAUAUGUUGAGUUAAUAUGUAGAAUAAGAAUACAUCUACAUUAGCUAUAUGAUGGUAUAAAGUACCUAAAGACAAAAAUGACCUUUAAAAUAAGUAAUUGGUAUAUUUCAUAAUUUCAUGCAUUUAUACAUGUACAUUGACCCAUGAUCAGACGGCGUUAUAUAUGCGUAUAUAUAUGAAUAUGGAAUAUGGGAAAAGGUUACGACAUUAUAUACGCACCAUCAUCUGAUCAGCUGGUAUACGUUGAUGAUUUGCCACAAUGGCCGAGAUGAUAUGAUGGGAUGUCCUUAGAAGCGUGAUGACGUUAUGGCAUUAUAUAUGUAUAUAUAUAUAUAUAUAUAUAUAUAUAUACAUAUGUAUAAAUAUGUAUAUAUAUGUAUAUAGGAUAUGAGAAAGGUUAUGGCGUUAUAUACGCACCACCACCUGCUGGUAUAUGUUCAUGAUAUUGCCCAUAAUGGCCGAGAUGAUGUGUCUUGAUGAUAUUAUGUACACCCAUACCUAUGCAUGUCACGAAAUUUAUACGCACGUGCAUGACAUUAUAAAAGUUUCAGAAUUUACAAAGUUAUUCAGAUUUAAAGAUGUGUUUCCUUAUUCCAUGUUUCAUCUAUGUGUUUUAUGUACUAAUUUUCAUGUCUUACAUACUUAGUACAUUUUUCGUACAGAUGUCCUAUUUCACGGGGCCUGCAUUUCAUGCCCGCAGGUGCAGGUAGGCAAGCUGAGUGUACCUCUUCUUAGGAUCCCUGAUCAUUGAGAGUUGGCGUACUUCAUUUGAUCCGGAGCUGCUUUUGAUUUUGGUACGAUACGUUUGUGUGUGUAUAUAUAUAUAUAUAUGGCUAUGAUGUGGCUCAGUCCCAUCUUUGUACAGUUAUGUUUCUAUUAGAGGUAUGUGGACAAUAUGUCUAGUUGGG